ACUCUUGUCCAUUAGACUCUUCUGACACAAUCUUUGGACUGAUUUAAAUUAAAUAAAUGAGGUAUAUGAUAGUGUUAAAAUUCAGGGAUUACAUGGGUUAAGUUUUAUAGGUUUUAUAGUUCAUACCUUUUCUUACGACUCGUAUAAAACUGAACAAAACACAUCACUUCUGCUAGUUUGGAUUUGGAUACAUAUUUCAUGAGAUCCAGUUCAAAAUGAAAAAAGAUACAUAUGCUAAAAUGAAACAUUCUUAAUUAGUAAAAGUGCCAGGAAUGAUCGAGUGCAAUGCCAUAAAAGAAAUAUCUUUGGUUUCCUGAAGAUUCUUUGAUUCUUAACCAUUUUUAUAGCCACAGAAAGAGCAAUAAUCAUUUUCUCAGUACAGCAUGGUAACAUACACGGUGUAAACCACAAGGUUGUUUAGGACACCAAAAUGUUUUUUGUUAGAGUAUAUGCCAUUUUCCUCACUAAGUCAUGACCUUCUCAAAGAAUCUUUGAAUAAAUGGACUGAUUAGAUAUAAAAUUGAUUAGAGUUAAUAAAAAAGGUCAUGUGAUACACUCCACCCGCUACCAUUGUUCCUUUUUUUUAGCUGAUAUGAACCUCGUGCACGUUUUUCCUCCGAGCUCAUGGGCCAGCUGAGAGCAUGAGAACGAAACCUCCUCAAUAGCAGCAGCCUCAUAUUUGGUGAGUAACCAUGGAAGCAGAAGCGCACUGCCUCUGCCCUUCUUACCUCUCCGCACCCGUGGGUCGUUCCCUCACUGAAAAAAGGGCACGCCUCACUUUCUUCCUCCUGACCCAACUCGCCUUUCGCCUCCACAAAGGCCAAAGCCGCCGGUCACCGCCGCUCUACCGGUCUAGACGUGUCUGCAUGGUCCAGCCUUGAUCUAGAAAGUCCCUUCGCUUAGAGGAGAAUGAAGCAGGGGGACGACAGAGACGCCGGUUUGAAAAGGAGCCCCGUCUGAUUUGGCCAGAGUGCCCAUUCUAUCAUCGAUCGGACGGAUGUUACUAUAUAUACCCAAUAAAAAUAUACUUACAAAAAACAUCCCCUCACAUGAAUUCCCAGAAGAUCUGAAGUGUGCAUGAGAAUCAAACCACGGCUCUUUGGUAUCCGAUAUAAACAUCUUACAUCACCUUUGGGAAGUUCCCUUGCAUGACACGGCCCUGAGCCGGUCAUGAUGCUUUUGGACGCCCUGGGACGUCAGCAUGACGACUGUGGCCAACUGGAGCACAAUAACAAAUACGUUACAGCUCCUUAAGGCAAGCUGUGAACUUUCAGACUUUCACAACUAGCUUUAUCACAUUUCCACAUGAGCCGUUUAUCCGUAAUCACAGCUCGUGUUGGGAACAAGUUCAAGCUCAUGUGAUCAAGACAUACUUCCUCUGCCUGUUAACGUGCUGUCACAAGACGUGAGUAUGCUCAAAAGUGAAGCUGAGCAAAGUGAAGCUGAGCAAAGGGAGUCAGCCAGCUGUCAGACAUUCUUACACAAUCUCUACACUUGCACAUAUUUCGGUGUGGACUUCUGAUCGGAAGGUUGAGAGUUCAAAUCCCAGCACCACCAAGCUGCCACUGCUGGGCCCUUGAGCAAGGCCCUUAACCCUCAACUGCCCAGUUGUAUAAAUGAGAUAAUUGCAAGUCACUCUGGAUAAGUGCGUUUGCCAAAUGUCGUAAAUGUAAGUGUUCUCCUUGUUUUUAAAAGAUCUGUAAUCAACCAAAUCACCCUCGUUUGUUUAAAUUCAGACCAUCUUCUAAUUUUUAGCAUCCACAUUUCCCACUGAGACCUGCUAAUCCAUAAACAUCAAAUUUAGAUGGAUUAAAAAUGAAGUUUGUUUUUGAGAAUUGUCAGGACCUAAAAUGUCCUGGAAAACCACAAAAAAUGACAGCAAGAUAGUCAUGACAAAGCACUUUUUAAAAAAAUGAAAGUUAGAUGAUUCUUUUUUUU